CCCUACGGGGCGCAGCAGUGGGGGAUAUUGCACAAUGGGGGAAACCCUGAUGCAGCGACGCCGCGUGUGGGAAGACGGUCCUCUGGAUUGUAAACCACUGUCCCCAGGGAAGAAAAUGACGGUACCUGAAGAAGAAGCCCCGGCUAACUACGUGCCAGCAGCCGCGGUAAUACGUAGGGGGCAAGCGUUAUCCGGAUUUACUGGGUGUAAAGGGGGCGCAGACGGCGAUGCAAGCCAGGAGUGAAAGCCCGGGGCCCAACCCCGGGACUGCUCUUGGAACUGCGUGGCUGGAGUGCAGGCGGGGG
rnacentral:rRNA from 1 species